UGAACACUUCACAGCCCUCCAGGUGCCGAGCUGCUACACCUUGCCCCUGUCUUUCUCCUGAUCAAAUAAGUUAGUCUCUAUGGAAGUUAAUGAACUUGCAGAGAUGUGCUUGCUGUUUGGCGUAAAUAUAGGAGAAAUUUAUUGUUCUCAAUAAGACUGAGUUAAACUUGCAUUAAUUUUACUGAUUCCAAAGAGAAAAAAAAAAAAGAAAUUAGGAGUAAGAAUAUUUCUUGAAGAUAAAAGAAUCUGCACAGGGUAAGAAGUUCACUGCCUGGCUUGUGGGCAUGCACCCCUCAGCUUUGCUGCACACAGAGAAGACACCACUGCUACUCUGAAGGGAAAGAGGAUCCGAAUGAAGGGUGAAUGAGGAACCUCAGGUCCUGCUGUGAACACGUAAGCCGUGCUGCUGAUGCUCGUAAUUCCUGCGGAACACGUGGGCGGAUGCCUCUCUCAUUCAGCUAUGAUCGUCCUCUUCCUUUCCCAGACUCCCAUGAAAGCGUGAAAAGUGCAGUUAUUCAUGCACAAUAAGGCGUGAUCGUUAUCGUGAUUUGUUUCUGCAAAUGUUGUUAAAACAAGGCAAUAUCUGAAGCUCCACAAAAGCUGCGCCUUUCUCAUGCAAAGCGGAACAUUCCUGGCGAGUCGAAUGCUGUGUCAGAACUGGAGCUCAGGAUCAGUCAUGUUUAGCAUCAGACCAGCCAGAAUUCUGCUGAGUUGCCAGAGCUCUGCUGAACCGUCAGAGAAACCUGCUGGUUCUUCUCAGCAGGAUAUCUCCAGGAGUGUAUGCUGGACUGGACGUGUGGAUGAAGGCUGGAAUCACAAGGGCACAGUCCAGCAGUUGUCAUUACAAUUAGUUGGUGGACUCCACGGUGUCCUACCAAAGAAACUGAGUACUGGCUUCUGAAGAGUGACUUGUGGAGUAAAACAGCUGUGCUGAAAUAUGGAAAGCUGGGAAUGAGCUGGAGACACUGAAGCCAAGGAAAAAUGUAUUUAGAGCCUGGGGAAUAGCAAACGGACAUGAGAAAACAGCCUCCCAUAGAGUCUCUAAGCCACAAAGAGUUUGAGCAGAAUAUUGAAUCACAGGCACUAAUGGAGGAGAAAAUUUAGGGCAGAAUUUUGGGCCAUAGUUUUGCUUCACCCAGUUCUGGAAAGAACAUCCAGAAAUCUCCAGUAAAACCAUCGAAACCACUGGAACGAGCCACCCCGAGAGACGGACACGUGCUGUCUCAGCCCGGUUCUCCGCCGCGGAUAAUCCUCCUGGCAAAAGCUGCCACCUCAACAGGUGCUGGUGGCCCCCACUGUCUGCUUCAUUAAGGGGCCAAGGACUGUGUGAUUAUGGAAGCUAAACCCUCGAUGAUCCCAAGGUGAAGUUCAACUGGAAGGGCAGCCAGCGGAAGAGGCAUCCCUAUUGUGCUGGCUCCCCGGGCUCCCUCCUGCAGCACGGCUAGCCCAGCACGGCGCACAGCACUAAUCCCUAAUUCAGCAAAACGCCGCAGCCCCUGCUUCACUCCCCAGCUUGGCUACGCGAGGGCAGGCUUGGCACAGAGGGAGAGUGAAAGGAGAGGUAAAUCUGCAAGAGAUAUUGAU
ensembl:lncRNA